GCGGCUGUGGUGGAAUGGCAUACACAACGGACUUAAAAUCCGUCGGCGAAAGCUUGGGGGUUCAAAUCCCCCCAGCCGCACCA
rnacentral:tRNA from 2 species